AAAAAUCAUAUUUCUAUUUUUUUUUUUGAAGGUGCGCUAAUGUUAACAAAAGCUAAUUUGGAAUUAUUAUGUUUGCAUAUUUUGCGCGUUCCUGCUCCCCUGAUGAAUGACGCGUUUGAACAAGAUGUAACGGUCGCUUGCUGCUUCAAGAUGCAGCGUUCGCGCUUGUCUGCCGUGUUUUGACUUUUCGCGUUCGUCUCGGCAUGUCCCAAGUGACAUUUUUGCUCUUAAUGUUAUUAGCGUGACAUGCGACAAUAUAAAUUACAGUGAGCGUCAUCGGCUUCAGUACGACCAGACAGGUGUCAUGCGAUUGCGGCUCUGUUGCAGCUGCGAAGACUGCUUCAUCAUCCUUCACACGGAAAACACUGGUUGCUCUAGAAUCCGCAUAGCUCACCAGAGUACUCGUGGCGUGGAUCGGAAAAGCAUGACGACUGCGAAGCAAUAUGUCGGACUCCACAAGCGCCUUCUGUAACGGGGGAUACACAGGAAAGCUCUAUACGUAGAAAACCAACUGAUGACAUGACUUCCACGGCUGCCCGGAAUGCUUCCUGUUUUCCUCAACCGUUUCUGUAAAGUCAGUGAGAAACUGCAUCGUGAAAUACAAAAUGUCUGUUUCAGAAGUGCACAAUAAAAUAAUUCAUGUUUAUUUCA